CAGCAGCCGCGGGAAUACGAACCGUGCGAACGCUAUUCGGAAUUACUGGGCUUAAAGCGCGUGUAGGCGGCUCGGCACGUCGGACGUUGAAAACCCCCGGCUCAACCGGAGAAGUGGCGCCGAUACGGCCGAACUGGAGGGGGGUAGGGGGGUCUGGAACUUCCGGUGGAGCGGUGAAAUGCGUUGAGAUCGGAAGGAACGCCCGUGGCGAAAGCGAGGCCCUGGACCUUUUCUGACGCUGAGACGCGAAAGCCAGGGGAGCGAACGGGAUUAGAGACCCCAGUAGUCCCUGUCUCUUAUA
rnacentral:rRNA from 1 species